rnacentral:rRNA from 1 species
AUGAUUAGACUGCAGCUGAAUGCAUAUUGUUGCUUUCCCUUCAUUUGCCUUUCCUUGACUGAGCAGAGACGCUGGCAGUGCUCCUGUACCCAUCCUGCCCAGCUACGUCUGUAUUGGUUAUUUGUGCAUCGCCUGCAUGGCAUGAUGAUACCCAAGGCCCACUGUUUGUUCAACAUUCUUGCUGUUCUUUGCUUGCAGUUAUGCAUUGGCAAUUCUGUUUAUAUAUAUAAUGUGAGGAAAUAUGAAAACGGAAAUGGAAAUGAAAUUCUUUAUGCGGAAACGGAAACAAAAACGAAAUGGUGUUUUCUGGUGGAACACACGUGGAAACAGAACUUUCCGUUUCCGUUAAUAUGGAAUUUCCGUGUCUACUAUAGGCCCACGGCUGCUUUGUAG